CCUGCCGUAUGCAGGGGGAUAACAGUUAGAAAUGACUGCUAAUACCGCAUAAGCGCACAGUAUCGCAUGAUACAGUGUGAAAAACGAUAGUGGCAUACGAUGGACCCGCGUCUGAUUAGCUAGUUGGCGGGGUAACGGCCCACCAAGGCGACGAUCAGUAGCCGGCCUGAGAGGGUGAACGGCCACAUUGGAACUGAGACACGGUCCAAACUCCUACGGGAGGCAGCAGUGGGGGAUAUUGCACAAUGGGGGAAACCCUGAUGCAGCGACGCCGCGUGAGUGAAGAAGUAUUUCGGUAUGUAAAGCUCUAUCAGCAGGAAAGAUAAUGACGGUACCUGACUAAGAAGCACCGGCUAAAUACGUGCCAGCAGCCGCGGUAAUACGUAUGGUGCAAGCGUUAUCCGGAUUUACUGGGUGUAAAGGGAGCGCAGACGGCAUGGCAAGCCAGAUGUGAAAGGUGGGGGCUCAACCCCCAAGCUGCAUUUGGAACUGUCAAGCUAAAGUAUCGGACAGGUAAGUGGAAUUCCUAGUGUAGCGGUGAAAUGCGUAAAUAUUAGGAGGAACACCAUUG
rnacentral:rRNA from 1 species